rnacentral:rRNA from 1 species
GUGGGGAAUAUUGGACAAUGGGCGCAAGCCUGAUCCAGCCAUGCCGCGUGAGUGAUGAAGGCCCUAGGGUUGUAAAGCUCUUUCACCGGAGAAGAUAAUGACGGUAUCCGGAGAAGAAGCCCCGGCUAACUUCGUGCCAGCAGCCGCGGUAAUACGAAGGGGGCUAGCGUUGUUCGGAAUUACUGGGCGUAAAGCGCACGUAGGCGGACAUUUAAGUCAGGGGUGAAAUCCCGGGGCUCAACCCCGGAACUGCCUUUGAUACUGGGGGUCUGGAGGAUGGAAGAGGUAAGUGGAAUGCCGAGUGUAGAGGUGAAAUUCGUAGAUAUUCGGAGGAACACCAGUGGCGAAGGCGGCUUACUGGUCCAUUACUGACGCUGAGGUGCGAAAGCGUGGGGAGCAAACAGGAUUAGAUACCCUUGUAGUCC